CCGCAUGCACAAGGUUUUACCACUGUACACUGUUUUACCGAGUAGGACACUAUAAAUGGCUUUCAAAAAGGGUUUUCACUUGUUCAAGUUCUUACUUUUAUUGCUUUACCAAAGUUCCAUUUUCAAACUGAUUUAUGAAAGAUUUCCAAAGGUUUUCAAACUUAUUUUACAAAAGAAUACAAAUUGUGAUUUUCCCGAGUAUAAAUGUUUUUCAUCAAUGUUCACUUUCACGACGUAUACUUAUACUUGUUAAAUACCGCUACUUCGCUUAUACUUAUUUUAUACUCCUACUCUGUAACGCUUUCGCUUAUACCUGAAGUCACUUAUACCUGAUAACGCUUAUACUUAUUCACCCUCUUACUUAGUGAUAUGAUCNUUAUACUUGAUAUCGACUCUACUUCACUUAUACUCGAUACGCUCAUACUUCACUUAUUGUCGUAUCUACUUCGUGAUACGCUUAUACUUUUUCGACACUCUUACUUCACUUGCAAUCACUCCUACUUCACUUGUUAGACACUCCUACUUCACAGAGAUCNNNNNNNNNNNNNNNNNNNNNNNNNNNNNNNNNNNNNNNNNNNNNNNNNNNNNNNNNNNNNNNNNNNNNNNNNNNNNNNNNNNNNNNNNNNNNNNNNNNNGCAAAUUAGGGUAUAGAAACCCUAAUCUCGAAAUUUCUAGCCUCCAAGGGUUUAUUGGCUAUAAACCCUAAUAUGUCAAGUUCAUAAUAUUGUAUAAUACUAAUUGAAAACAAGUUAACCAAAGGCUCUGAUACCACUGAUGGGAUUUGUACAUACAAUCCUAUGUGUACAUGCAACCCUUGCAUUGGAUCUAUGUUUUCUCUAUUAGAUACACAACAUUAUGAACACAUAAUAAAACCCUAAUGCUAGCAUAUAAGUAAUCAUAUUAACAUAAGAAUAGGUUUAUAAUAUUACCUUGAUUGUUAUGUAGCAAUAACAAUCCCAAAUCUCCUUGUAUUGACUUUGGAAGGCUUAGAGUCACAAGUGUCACUCCUCUAAUGGCUUACAAACACCAAGAGCAAAUGGAGAAGGUAUAAAGAGAGAGGGGAGGUAUUAAAUUCGUUCCUAAGAAGCCUUAGGAAGGUCUGGACGAAAUCAUAAGCCAAAGGGGGUUUAUAUAGGUGUAGAGAUAGGGUUUCAGUCCUUAUCCUUAUCUAGUUGCUUGCUUACCAAGCAACCCAUAAGAUAAGCCUUGAAUCCUUAUCAUGAUCGAAUUCUAAGGUACUUAUCACCUCAAAUUCGUCCAACCUAUCCUUAGGAUAAUCCUUACCCUAUUUUGUAACUAUCACAUAAUUACAUGUGAUUGAUAACCCGCAUGCACAAGAUGUUACAUGUGAUUGAUAACCCGCAUGCACAAGAUGUUACCAAUGUACACUGUUUUACCGAGUAGGACACUAUAAAUGGCUUUCAAAAUGGGUUUUCACUUGUUCAAGUUCUUACUUUUAUUGCUUUACCAAAGUUCCAUUUUCAAACUGAUUUAUGAAAGAUUUCCAAAGGUUUUCAAACUUAUUUUACAAAAGAAUACAAAUUGUGAUUUUCCCGAGUAUAAAGGUUUUUCAUCAAAGUUCACUUUCACGACGUAUACUUUUACUUGUUAAAUACUGCUGCUUCGCUUAUACUUAUUUUAUACUCCUACUCUGUAACGCUUUCACUUAUACUUGAAGUCACUUAUACCUGAUGGACGCUUAUACUUAUUCACACUCUUACUUAGUGAUACGAUUCUACUUCGCUUAUACUUGAUAUCGACUCUACUUCACUUAUACUCGAUACGCUCAUACUUCACUUAUUGUCGUCUCUACUACGUGAUACGCUUAUACUUGUUCGACACUCUUACUUCACUUGCGAUCACUCCUACUUCACUUGUUAGACACUCCUACUUCACAGAGAUCACUCCUACUUGAUACACACUCAGUCGUAGUUAGAUGUAUGUAUGUGCUUGUAUAGAUGCAUAUAAAUAAUGAUUGAAGGACUUAGGAAGGCUUGUCUGCCCUAUUUCCUUUUCUUCGUUGAGAUGUGGUCUGGUGGGAUCGGAUGUCCAUCCGAAGGUCAUUUGAUUCAUUACUUAUAUAUUAUGUAC
rnacentral:lncRNA from 1 species